rnacentral:rRNA from 1 species
UACGUAGGGUGCGAGCGUUGUCCGGAAUUAUUGGGCGUAAAGGGCUCGUAGGCGGUUUGUCGCGUCGGGAGUGAAAACUCAGGGCUUAACCCUGAGCCUGCUCCCGAUACGGGCAGACUAGAGGUAUGCAGGGGAGAACGGAAUUCCUGGUGUAGCGGUGAAAUGCGCAGAUAUCAGGAGGAACACCGGUGGCGAAGGCGGUUCUCUGGGCCGAUACUGACACUGAGGAGCGAAAGCGUGGGGAGCGAACAGG